CUUAUGCGUUGUUGGGUAGGGGAGCGUUCUGUAAGCCUGCGAAGGUGUGCUGUGAGGCAUGCUGGAGGUAUCAGAAGUGCGAAUGCUGACAUAAGUAACGAUAAAGCGGGUGAAAAGCCCGCUCGCCGGAAGACCAAGGGUUCCUGUCCAACGUUAAUCGGGGCAGGGUGAGUCGACCCCUAAGGCGAGGCCGAAAGGCGUAGUCGAUGGGAAACAGGUUAAUAUUCCUGUACUUGGUGUUACUGCGAAGGGGGGACGGAGAAGGCUAUGUUGGCCGGGCGACGGUUGUCCCGGUUUAAGCGUGUAGGCUGGUUUUCCAGGCAAAUCCGGAAAAUCAAGGCUGAGGCGUGAUGACGAGGCACUACGGUGCUGAAGCAACAAAUGCCCUGCUUCCAGGAAAAGCCUCUAAGCAUCAGGUAACAUCAAAUCGUACCCCAAACCGACACAGGUGGUCAGGUAGAGAAUACCAAGGCGCUUGAGAGAACUCGGGUGAAGGAACUAGGCAAAAUGGUGCCGUAACU
rnacentral:rRNA from 1 species